rnacentral:rRNA from 1 species
CACGUAGGGGGCAAGCGUUGUCCGGAAUGAUUGGGCGUAAAGGGCGCGCAGGCGGCCUCUUAAGUCUGAUGUGAAAGCCCACGGCUCAACCGUGGAGGGACAUUGGAAACUGGGGGGCUUGAGUGCAGGAGAGGGGAGUGGAAUUCCACGUGUAGCGGUGAAAUGCGUAGAGAUGUGGAGGAACACCAGUGGCGAAGGCGGCUCUCUGGCCUGUGACUGACGCUGAGGCGCGAAAGCGUGGGGAGCGAACAGG